rnacentral:rRNA from 1 species
AGAGUUUGAUCCUGGCUCAGGAUGAACGCUGGCGGCGUGCUUAACACAUGCAAGUCGAACGAAGCACCUUGAUUUGAUUCUUCGGAUGAAGAUCCUGGUGACUGAGUGGCGGACGGGUGAGUAACGCGUGGGUAACCUGCCUCAUACAGGGGGAUAACAGUUAGAAAUGACUGCUAAUACCGCAUAAGACCACAGCACCGCAUGGUGCAGGGGUAAAAACUCCGGUGGUAUGAGGUGGACCCGCGUCUGAUUAGGUAGUUGGUGGGGUAACGGCCUACCAAGCCGACGAUCAGUAGCCGACCUGAGAGGGUGACCGGCCACAUUGGGACUGAGACACGGCCCAAACUCCUACGGGAGGCAGCAGUGGGGAAUAUUGCACAAUGGGAGAAACCCUGAUGCAGCGACGCCGCGUGAGCGAUGAAGUAUUUCGGUAUGUAAAGCUCUAUCAGCAGGGAAGAAAAUGACGGUACCUGACUAAGAAGCACCGGCUAAAUACGUGCCAGCAGCCGCGGUAAUACGUAUGGUGCAAGCGUUAUCCGGAUUUACUGGGUGUAAAGGGAGCGUAGACGGAGUGGCAAGUCUGAUGUGAAAACCCGGGGCUCAACCCCGGGACUGCAUUGGAAACUGUCAAUCUAGAGUACCGGAGUGGUAAGCGGAAUUCCUAGUGUAGCGGUGAAAUGCGUAGAUAUUAGGAGGAACACCAGUGGCGAAGGCGGCUUACUGGACGGUAACUGACGUUGAGGCUCGAAAGCGUGGGGAGCAAACAGGAUUAGAUACCCUGGUAGUCCACGCCGUAAA